rnacentral:rRNA from 1 species
CAACUUUUAACAAUGGAUCUCUUGGCUUUUGCAUCGAUGAAGAACGUAGCAAAUUGCGAUAACUAGUGUGAAUUGCAAAUUCAGUGAAUCAUCGAGUCUUGAACGCAUCUUGCGCUCAUUGGUAUUCCAGUGAGCACGCCUGUUUCAGUAUCAAAA